rnacentral:ncRNA from 1 species
AGCAGUGAAAUCAAAAAUAAAGAGAAGCAUUGUGAAGUAAAUGAUAAUUUUACUACUAAGCUAAUAAACUAAUAAUGAACUAAUAAUACAAAAGUACAAUAAAGCUGAUGAAAAUAAAACCCAGUGUGUGCAAAUUAAAUCUCUUCGACUUAGUGAAGGUUGAAAAUCCACAGCUUGCGAGGCUCGUCCGGGAAAAAGCUGAAUCCCACAUUAAUUUGAUAAAGUGUUGAUAGAUUUCGAUAGAUUUUUCGGAAUUAUAUAAUAGCAUGAUUAUUAUUGAUUUUCUGUGUUUAUUAUAUGCACUUGUAUGAUUAACAAUGCGAAAGAUUCAGGAUACCUUCGGGACCCGUCUUGAAACACGGACCAAGGAGUCUAACAUAUGUGCAAGUUAUUGGGAUAUAAACGUAAUAGCAUAAUUAACUUGACUAAUAAUGGGAUUAGUUUUUUAACUAUUUAUAUAUAAUUAACACAAUCCCGGGGCGUUCUAUAUAGUUAUGUAUAAUGAUAUUUAUAUUAUUUAUACCUCUAACUGGAACGUACCAUGAGCAUAUAUGCUGUGACCCGAAAGAUGGUGAACUAUACUUGAUCAGGUUGAAGUCAGGGGAAACCCUGAUGGAAGACCGAAACAGUUCUGACGUGCAAAUCGAUUGUCAGAAUUGAGUUUAGGGGCGAAAGACCAAUCGAACCAUCUAGUAGC